rnacentral:misc_RNA from 1 species
GAAGAUCAGUACAUUAAACUUGGAACGUGCGCGCCGAUUGAAGAGCAGACUCGUUGCCUUGACCCGGAGAGUUCAGAAGGUUAGGGAUGAGAUAGAGCAGCUCAUGGAUGAUGAUGGAGAUAUGGCUGAAAUGUACCUUACUGAAAAGAAAGGGCGGAUGGAGUCAUCAUUCUAUGGUGAUCAGUCUUUGAUGGGAUUUAGAUCAAAUGAUGGUGGCCUAUCUGCUUCUGCCCCAGUUUCUCCUGUUUCCUCACCCCCCGAGUCCCGGAGGCUUGAGAAAAGCUUGAGCAUUGCAAGGAGUCGGCAUGAGAGCAUGAGGAGUUCAGAAAGUGCUACAGAG